CAACAGAAAAGGAAAUUGAAAGUGAUGGGACAGAAUCAGAGAGGAGUCAACCAGCCAGGGCAGAAGAACCGGCACGCGGGCUGCUCUGAGAGUCUUGGCAGAAGCCGAUGGAAGGUGUCUCCACAGUGCUGCCCCCGGAACAAGGGCACCGAUGGUUUCCUGCUUUUUGUCUCUCUCUCUGCUCGCGAUUCAAAGUCCGAGGAAGACCUGCGGGUGUGAGCUCUGCCGGGCUCAAGUGCCAUCUCUUGGCUUGGGGAGAGCAGGGCAUCUUGAAUGACAGCCUCAGCAGACUGCUUGCACGAUUCCAAUUGGAAAUCAGGACACCAUUACUGAGGGAGAAGCGGGGAGAGUGGAUGUUGGAUUGGGUGCCAGAAAGCUGAAAACGCACAUGACACUGGGAGUUGGUGAGAAGCCCAGACAGCCUCCAACCCUCUGGCUGUGGGGUCGCAGGGAGACAGACCCAGAGCUUCAAGGCUCUGCAGGUGGUGCUAAUGAAUUGCCAAGACCCGAGAUGUAACUGCUGUGUUUUGAAGUCUCUUUCAGCUCUAGAUAUGACCAUCAUGGACAGAAGAUCUCCACAGCCCUGGCCAAGGCUGUUAAAACUGCAACUCUCUGGUAUCUAAGUUCUUUUAAAUAGUUUUGCAACAACGGGGAUUUAGGGCUCAGAUUGUUCUUUUGAUCAUCAGAAUUCUAAUUUUUUUUAACAGCUGAGGAUGAUCAACCAAGUUUCUGUGUCUGCUCUCUGCCCUGUGUACUUGGCACUGUGGUUCUGAGGUUAUACUGUGGGUCAGAAAAUUCCUGCUUUCAUCCCAAAGCUCAGGACCAAGUACAGAGCUUUUUUUUUUUUUUUUCCUGGUGGUGCAAAACUUAGCUGGGUGGGUACAUCAGGGUGCUAAACUGUUCCUCGGGGCUGCCAAAUUGUGACUUGGCUUGUGUACAUAUGCCCGUAAAAGGUUGUUUGAAGCACAGGAAAAGGGCAAGCAUCGUGA